UAUGGAUCCGAAUUUUUUUUAUUAUUCUCGUGAUUUUAAUAGUUUAAUUUAAUUUGGGUAAACAGCUGUUGAGGAUUGUUUUAAUAUAUGAACAAAUAGGAGGUUAACAGAUCUGUUUGUUUACUUUCACCUUUCCUUUUCAUUAUAUUUAAUAAUUCUGUUCAGGAUAAUGUAAAUUGUUCUAAAAAUUGUUUUCUUAGUACCUGUUGAAAUGUUACAUAUUUUUUUUUAGCAUCAUUGUCAGAAUUCCUAUUUUCAUCCCAGUGCCGGUGAAGACAAAGAUGAAACCAAACUACAACUUCUUCGAGAGUUAUCACAACAAACUGUAUAAACUGAUACAUCAAUGAUUAAUAACUCAACAAGUAAUGCUCAAUCAAUGAAUCGAUUUAUUUUGAGAGGAUAUUGACAUAUUGAUAGAUUCCUCCGCUUUGAACUGCUUACAGAACUUGCCUGGACUAUGUAUCACUUGUAUGCAUUGUGAUCUAUCUGUUGAUGCAGCGAAUUAUGGUAGUGCUAGCGUAUCUUUGCUGAUGUGUCACCAGUGAUGCAAUUUUUCCUAGGAGCCAUCAAUUGACUUGGUGUCAUGGCAUUUCUGUAUCCUCCUCCCUUCUACUAGUGAUGGUCUAAUUUGGGUGGCCAACAGAGGUGAGGCAAAGAACCUCACCCCCCCCACUGGUUCAUAGGCCUAUCCACAAGUAUGGCUAUAUGCUGGACUGGUAGUCAGUGACGGGUAUGAUCCAAUUGCAGUGUUAUCAACCUAAGACAGGAGGCUGAUGCCUAGAAGUCAGUUUUCCAAUGACGGGUAAGA
rnacentral:lncRNA from 1 species